AUACAGGCAGGGCUGCGGGCAUCCUCUUGAAUGGGAUUCCUUCUCCUUUCUGCAAAGCCCUAGUUCAGCUUUGCAACCCUGAAGAACAUUCCCCUUGCAAAAAUCUCCUGUCAACCUUCUUCCCUCAUCCUUGUAGGGCUGGUUUCCUCUUUGCACUAUCUUUUAUUUUCCUAGUCUGACACCACUGUGCAGGGCCAGAAGGAGAUGGAUCAGCCUUACCCUAAGUAUUUCACCAGUAUGGUCCAUGCUUUGUAGUUAAACAUCCCUUUUGCUGUAAAUUAAAGCAUGGUAUUUCCCACAGGCUGCAAUUAGUAGCAGAAAACCAACACUUUUUAAAAUAAAAGCUGGGGGAACUGUAGGUACUUAUCAUGAGGACCAAGAAGGCUUUUUUUGUUCUGCUUUCACGUAGCUUAAAAUCAGCUGUUCACCUCUUUGCUUGGGUUACUGCUCCUGCUCCCAGCCUAGCGACCUGCUCCUCAUUUGGCAUUUCCAGUGACUGUUCACGUCCUGUGACUGAGUGGUUGCUGGAAGUGUCAAGACUCAUUUUGCUCCAUGUGAUGUUACCUCCUGGUACGAAUGUGCUCUGUCUCACUCUCCCUUUAGCACAGGAGACUGGUUACAAACACCUCACUAUCAUCAUUAGGGUUCAAGCCAAUCCAAACUCAUGCUUUCCAGCAUGAGAAGCACGAUGGAUUGUGGUUUUAUUUUUUUUUUUUGUGAAAGCUGUUCUCCAGAUCAUCAUUCAGAAUGCAUGUUGUGGGAUGGGAAGGAUACCAUACAGCUGCAGUACUGUUUUCCAGACCCAGCAAAUAUUUUCUCUAGUUAAUCAAAGAAUCAAAAUCAAGAAGUAGAACUUCUGUGAAACUGUCACAUUGGCCAGUAGGUUAAUGACAUUUGCUGCUAGAAACAAUAUAAAUCAAUGUCUUCAUAUUUAUUUUACAGUGCUGACCACUAAUUGACUUGUUAGUAUUUAAGGCAUUAUGUAGGUUGUUUUUGUUUAAGUAGUAAACUCUAC
rnacentral:lncRNA from 1 species